UGUGUGAGUGAGUGUGUUCCUUCUAGCUCAGAUAGGCUUAUAUCUGGGGUGGGGCACCAGGAAACUGAAUGAGGGUCUCUCAUGACCCUUCCCCCAUGGUGCUUGGCCAUAGCUCCCACUAGUCACUCAGUGGCAGAGUUUUGUCCCUGAAGGUCACACCCAAGUGGGGAACAGGUAUUUUCCAGGGUCUCCAUUCUCCUGUGUGUAUCCCAGGUCUGUGUCACCAACAGCAGCUCAGUGACUUUCAGGCCCACCCCAUCCUUCCUCCCCAUCUCUGAGCUGCCUAGCCUAGAGCAGCCCACCUCUGUUACCAUGGGAACAGAGUGGAUGCUGGGAAUUCUCCCCUUGGGUGAAUUCUCCCACUUUCUUGGGCCUUUAACACUCAUAAAAACAAAUCAGAAAUUGCCAGGUUUGGAGUUAUAGGCCAAACUCAGGGGCCAUUCCAAUUCCUAAUGGCAAAUUAAUGAGAUCCUGCCUCAAAUAAUUUAAAAAGUAUUAAAGGGCUGCUGGAGGGAGCUAAAAGACAACUCAGAGUAAAGUGUUUGCUGCAGAAGUGGAAGGAACAAGUUUAGACCCUCAGGACCCAUGGAAAAGAAGAGUGGGCAUUGUAGCCUCCUGUGACCCCAUCCACAGAAUACCCAGAGCAAGCUGGCUAGGCUGACUAGAAACACCAUGAGCUCUGAGUUCAGCAAGAGACCCUGCCUCACCUCAGGAGGUGAGAAGAGAUGGGCAAAGACACCUAGCAUUAACCUCUGGCCUCUACACGCAUGGGCACAUAUGUAGACAAAUACCCACACACAUGUAAACACACACACAAGAGGGGAUACAAAGAAGUGAUAGGAAGCCUACCUAGCAUGCAGGAGGCCCUAGGUUCAAUCCCUGGUACCAUUUUAUUAAAAAAAAAGAGGUCAAAAUGAUGCGUACACACAGACUCCUGGCAAGAACAUCAGCCUGCACUGAAUAGGAGAUGCCCACAUGGCUUUGUGAUGCUCCCUCCCCUUUCUCCAUCCUUCUCCAUCACCAGCCAUGGUUAUUCCCUUCCUGCCGGCCUGGCUCAACUCUUUUGAGACCUUAGGCUAUAGGAUGAAGGAUCUUAGGAUCCCAAGAGGGGAACGUGAGCUACCGCUAUCUACGCUAAGCUGGGUCAUGUAGCGUGAAUGUUCGUCCCCAAAGGUCUCUGCUUUGUGAACUCCUUCCCAGGGCAGUGGUGUGGUGAGGUGCGGCUGGUGUGAAAUGCUGUUCUCUAAGGAUAACAACCACUACCAUCCUCAUCAGAGCAACUUGUGACCACUUGCCACCCUCAAAAUCAGGCCUGUUGUCAUUCCCCUCACAGAAGGAGAGGGUGGUGAGACCCUAGUCUCGGGAGGUAUUAGGGUCCAUCGAUGUGGAAGGCUCUCUGAAGGGUGUUCCAUCUAUGCACUUACAGAGAAGUGGUCAGUUAGGGUGUGGGGAGACUUCACAGUGAUACAGCUGUGGGGGGGGGGUCACCUGAACCCCUGUAAGUGGCCCUCUUACCUGUGCUCUGUAACUAAACCCAAUGAACUCGUUGGGUUGCCAAGCUGGACUUGAAUGGAGCCAUUGCUUUAGUCUGUCACUGAUGCCCUUGUCGGGGGUGACACAAGUUUGUUCAUGUGUCAGCAGAGACAAGAGCCUUUAGAAGUGAUUUAGGUCAUGAGGGCUCUACCCCAGCAGGGGUAUUUAGUUUAUUAUAGGAGGGACUUCCUAAUGGAAAGAUCAGUUUGCCCCAUGCUCUCCCUUCCCCGCUCCCUCUCCCCAUCCCCUGUCUCUCUCCCUUUCCAAGUGAUAUUCUCCAACACAUUAUGACACAGCACAAACCCUCACCUGGUUCACCCCCUAGAUCUUGCACCUUCCAGCUUUCAGAACCUUCUGUUACUCAUAAGCAAUCCAGCUUUGGGUAUUCCAUCAUAGCAACUGAAACCAAAUUACAACAGAGAGCAUUAACAUGCCAUGGGUUCAGGUUCCAUGUCUGUCUUGGCCCUGCCUGAGCUGAAGCAGCUCUCCACCAAAAGCCACACAGCCAAGUAGUGGCUGUCUAGUUCAGCAUCCCACCUCCACCAGCACAGUGUGGAAGUCCCUGCCAGGAUGCACCAGCUGCCAGGGCAGCAAGGGUGAACCUGAUGCCUUUGACUCCAGCAGGAUAAUGGGGAAGCCAGGAGAGGCUGUGUUCUCCUUUUCCAUAGCUAUGGUAGGUGGACACGCAGCUGGCAGGCAGCCGGACAGCCGGAGUCUGGGCAUAAAAGACGGAGGCUUAAGACUCUCUGGUCUGGAAUUCUGCCCUUUCCUCAUGUUACCACCUGACAUGAGGCAAUCAGACAUCUCCCCAUGAAGGCAGGACUUGAACAAGUCAUCUGUCUCCAGGAGACGCCUUCCCCACAGGGGCUCUUGAUUCGUGGCCGUCCCCUCCCCUUCUACCUAAUGUCUAAUGUCAGACAGGCAUCCUUGGAUGCCUUACUCCUUAAGUCACAACCACACUGAAGCACCUUCAGUGUCUCCUAUGUACUCCAUGAUAACAGCAAAACGUCUCAUCCUUCAAGACCCUCACUAUCUAAUUUCAGAUGCCCCCCAAAAUCUAGCCAAACAAAGCCUGGCCCAGCUGUCUGUCCUCCUCAGCUUCCCCUAUGUUUCUUUGACUCUCAUCCUCAGCAAAAGUCAACCUCAGCUACCACAGGACUUUGUCCUGACCCUAGACUGUGACCCUCUUGGGGGUGUGUAACAAGUCUUUCUGCCAACGCCCCCCCCCCAACCCUGUCAUGGCCUGGCAUAAGGUGGAUUUAUCCCUCCAUUCUCAAUGGCCUGAGUUCUGAAGGCACCAAGGAAGCAACUUCUCUACUUACAAUGAAGGCCUAGCAACUAUCUAGCACUUUCCUCCAAACGGUUCGUGAAUUCAAGUUUGCUGAGCAUAGAAGGCAGAGCUCUACAGUGUGUGGCAUGUAAUUCACUCAGCUUCCUGGGAGCAGUGUUCCUCAGACACACAGCCCCACCUCUGACCUCCCAGUGCAAGGAGAGACCUUAGUCUACCUGAGAGUGUUUGGAGGGACCCUUCCAGAUGAAGCACUCACACCCUCUUCACUGAAUUUUAUUUCUUAUCUGUUAGGAGUCAUGGCAGCCACAUAAAUAACUUUGGACAAAAUGACAAAGAGCAUACAGGCAGGUGGCAUCGUGGUCUCUAUGUAGCCCUGAAUGAUAAUGAAACUCACUCUUGUAGACCAGCUUGGCUUAAGAGAGCUGCCUGCCUGUGCCUCCCGAGUUUGGGGUUAAAGGUAUUUGCCAUCUCCUUGGGCUGUCUUCACUUCUUAAACUUAAGAACACUUCAAGCUAAAGUUGGCUGCAAACAGGCAGGAGGAAGCUCUGUGGAAUGAGGAGAACUUCGAAGAUGGGACUGUGGCGACAGUUGUGCAAUUCAGUGUGUUUUCUAUAGACCGUAUACUUACAAUGGGGGAAUUUUAUGGUCUGUAAAUAAUACUUCAAUAAGGCUAUAAAGAACAAAAAGAAUGUUCUAUGAAACACUAGUAUUCAGACCCAGGACUCCAAGGAACCUUGAAAAUCCAGUGGCUGCAUGAUGGUGAAUGGCCUUACUCUGGGCCCUUCCAGGGUGCUGAGAACAUAGACCAUAAGGACUCCACUUUGGCUUCCUUCCCUCCCAUGCCACCUACCCAGUGUCCUCCAGCCCCAGGAGUGUGGUGGAGGCUCUCAAGUCCUUGUCUGAAGAGUGAAUGACCAAAGGAAGAGCUCCCAUGCACUGUCCUUGAAAGGACUUUUUUUUUUUUUUUUUUUUGUGUGUGUGUGUGUGUGUGUGUGCAUACAUACACACACACAUGAGCAUGGGCACGUGUGACAGAGACCAUAAGAGAGUUCAGAUCCCCUGGAGCUGGAGUUACAAGUUAUUAUAAUCUGCCAGAUGUGGAUUCUGGGAACCAAGCUCAGGUCCUCCACAAGAACAGCCAGUGCUCUUAACCCCUGGGCCAGCUCUCCAAUCUCCCUGUGAAUUUUUACAGGAUUGUGCUAGACCUGGGACAGUCUGGAGGCAGGUGGCUGUGUCAACGACUAAUCCUCACUCCUUCCGGCACUGAACUAGUGGUCCCCAGCAGACAGGGGAUCAAACUCAUAGCAAACACUCUGCCUCUGAGCUAUAUCCCCAGCCCUGGCUUUGGGGAGCUGCCACAGGACGACAAGGCCCUAACCACUUGGAAGUCUUGCACUAUCCCCUUGAGAUGUGGGUUCUGAAAGGGCCUCUGAUGGGCUUCAAAUGGUCCAGAGACCCUUCCUUGCCCAAAAAUCGUCAGGUGCCUGUCCUAACAGUCCUGUGAGGACCUUACCUAAUGACAGGCUGAAGAGUGGACCUCAGAGCCAAACAUGGGUUCUGAUUUUGCAAGAAAAGGAGAAAAAUGCUGGGCAGAUCAAAAUAACUUGUGUCCUCUACCCACUGGAAAGUUCCACAGUGACAAAAGAUGAGUGUCUGAAUCAAGAUCAGGGGUUUCACAAAGCCAGGAAGUGGCAGAGACUGAUGCCCUCCAAUUUCUCCUUCAAAACCUUCUUUAAUACAGAACGCUAUUCUGAGGCUGGAAGUUUCCUCAAAACCCAGGCAAGGUGUGUGGAGCUGGGGAAAGAGCUGUACAUAGUCGGGGAGAGGUGAGGGUGUCAGGGCUUGGGCUGGGUCAUACCCUGGAGGCCAUGCUGCCCCUGAACCUCUGCUCCCCCCAUCGGUAAGAAUGUGGCAGUAACUGACUUUCCAGGGUUGAGUGAGACUGUAGAGGUCAAAGGUUGUACAGACUCCAGUGGUCAUUUUCAACCUGUUUCAAGCCUUCUGCUCUGGACUUUUUCUGUUGGAUCGUGUGUGUGUGUGUGUGUGUGUGUGUGUGUGUGUGUGUGUGUGUGAGUGCCUGUCUGUCUGUCUGUCUGUCUGUCUGUCUGUCUGUCUGUGGAGGCCAGAGGGUCAAUCUUGAGUUUUGUUCUUUAGGAGUUAACUCCCCACCCUUUCCCCUUCUUUUUUCUCUUCCUUUUCUCCUCCUUCUUCUCCAUCACCUUAUCUGAACUGGACCUUGAAAUGUAGACCAGGAUGGCUGAACUUAAACUCACAGAGAUCUGCCUUCCUUUGCUUCAAAUGUGCUGGAAUUCAAGUCAUAUACCACACACCUGGCCAUCUUUUUUUUUUUUUUUUUUUUUUUUUUUUUUUUUUUUUUUUUACUUUUUCUGUUUUUAGACAUCAUCUCUCACUAGCCUGGAGCUCACCAUGUAGGUAAAGCUGACUGAGACAGCCUCAGAGAUCUGCAUGUCUCUGCCUUCCCAGACGCUGUGAUUACAAACCUAUACCUCCACGCCUAAAUGUUUUGUUUUUUAGAUGUGGGUUCUGGGGAUUGAAAUCAGAUCCUCUUCCAUGCACUACUGAUAGAACUACCUUCCCAGCCCUACUCUAGUUUUCCAAAAUCACCCUCACUGCCUUAGACAGCAUUCCUUCCUCCAACAGCAACUGAGCAAGCUGUCCCAGCAUCAGGGCUCUAGGAUAGGCUCAAAUGUACAGUCUCUAUCUUUGAAUAGAGCCAGCAUUGCCUGGAAGCCCAUUAACUUGUUUGUCUACUGGGUCUGUGUGGCCAGCGCCCCAUGCCAGCUUAUGCAUGCCUGCAUUUUAAAAGGUUUUAAUGUGUCACUGUUUAAUUCUUCCUGGGGAGAUAUUUUCUAGGCGAUAGCGAUAUUUUGUAAAUAAUAUACUUAUUUAGUAUCGGGUCUGUGGGGGAAGGCAAGGUCAGUGCACAGCCAGCGAAGCUCCUUUGCAGCCCAGGUCAGGUGGGAGGGACUCCUGAGCAGUGGCUUCUAGGAACUACAGUGGGUCCAGGCAGUGUCCGGGACACUUCCUAGAGACCAUGACCCAUAGUGGCAAGUGUGAAGACUAAUUAAAGGAUAUCAAAGACAAGUGGCCAAGAGAUUCUGGCUGCUAAAAAAAACAAAGGCAGCCAGCCUAGGACUGCACAGUCACCCUCCCCACAAUACCUCCCCUCCCAACCCCACACACUUGAUUUUGCUUCACCUGACUUUCUGCCACUGAUAGACAGUGACUGUGGGUAUGGCCUUUGUUUUUGUUGCUUGUUUUGUUUUGUUUUGUUUGAGACAGUGUCUCAUGGAGUCUAGACUGGCAUCAAACUCAAUAUGUAGUCAAGGAUGGCCCUGAACCCCUAAUCUUCCUACCUACACCUCCCAAGUCCUGGGAUUACAAGUGUGCAGUACCUUGACAGCAUAAUGUGGUGGUAGGAAUGGAGCUCGGGGCAAAGAACCCAGGGAAUUUACUGUCUGCUUGGACCCAGGUGGGUGAUCUCCACCUGGAAAAGUGAGGGACCAGAACAGACAGGGCUUCCCAGGAGUCAGAUAGCUGGGACUGGACCCUUCAGUCUGUGACUCUGCAGCCGUGCAGUUUGUGCCACUGGCUACAGAUGAGGAGCCCGUGGGCCACAGUGCAAGGGACAGAGGUGCCCUACAGAGCAACAUCUAGAGGAUCUAGAGGAAUGGCAGAAAGCAAUGGUGGGAUGGCCCAGCAGAGAGGGUGUCUAAGGAGCAAUUAACAUUACUCCUCAGUUGCGGGUAGGGUUGACGACCAUGAACAGAAACACAGGAAGAAGGGAUUUCUUUUCAACCCAGCAAAUAUUUAGGUUAGUGGUUUUACCUCUUGGUUGUUGGCUACCUAGUUGCUUGCAUGCUUGGUUGGUUGGUUCAUUGAUUGGUUAAUGAUUCAGUUGGUUGGUCAAUGGGUUGGUUGGUUAAUUGGUUGGUGUGACUCAGUUACUAGAAUAAUUGGUGGUUCAGUUGGUUAGUUAUUCCAUUGGUUGGUUGGUUGAUCCGUUGGUUGGUUAGUUAGUGGAUUGUUUAUUCAGCCUGUUGGUUGGUUGGUUGUUCCAUUAGUUGUCUAAUUGUUUGAUUGGUUGAUUGUAUAGUUGGUUGGGUGGUUUAUUUGUGGUUCAUCUGGUUAGUUGGUGUGUGAUUCAGCUGGUUGGUGGGUGGGUGGGUUGGUGGGUGAAUGGUUCAACUGGUUGGUUAGUUGGUUGGUUGGUUGGUUGGUUGGGGAUUGUCAAUAUGGAAAAAUAUUAGGUUCUGUUGCCUAUUUGAAGUCUUUCCUGAACUUCCUGACUUAAGAAAACUCCGUCAGAGGCUGGGAUGUAGCUUAGUGAUGGGACACUUGCCUAACAUGUAAAAGGCCAUGGAGCCCACCUCCAGUACCACAAAGAAAACAGGAGGAGGAGUGUCAAGAGUGAGGGAAAUGGAGAGGGCCAGGGCAGUUCCAGAACUUAAUCUACCUCCCACUUACACAAAAGUGUUUAUCCAUUCAAGAAAGUUUCAUCUGGGCUCCCUUUUACAGCCCUAUUCAGGCCAUUUGAUGAUGUUAACUCCUUGUUAAAGUUCGUGCCAUUCUACACAAAGGAGUUUCACUUUAAUGCCAAGGUCAUGGAUGUGGUAGGGAUGCUACCACACACAAACACACACACACACACACACACACACACACACACACACACACACACACACACACACACACACGAGACUGGCUCCCCAGCCUCACCAUGAGCAGGCUGGAGGCGCCCAGAAAGCUCUCAAGGUCUCUAGGCUGCCAGACAUGCCUCCCAGCCUCCAUCAGGUCUGGCCCUUGCUGAUGGCUGGUGAUAGGGCUCCUCCAUGGACCAACCUCCCCUGCCUUGCUUUUCAGCAAACAUUCCAGGGGGGUUUAUCAGCCUGUGGCUAAUGUGGAUUGUCAUUCAUUUCAUCUGUAUCACAGCCUAGAUGCAAAACAAACAGAAAGCUGUAUUAAAAAAAAAAAAAAAGUCACAAUGGCACAGAGGAUCUGGCUGAAUUUGUGAAAACAAACUGUGCCGCUCAGGUGCCAGCACGGAGGCAGCACAGUUUUCUGAUAGCGAGACCAGAACAGCUCUAGGCUGCUUCUGCCUUCCUGAACUCCCCUGGGGUCCUCUAUGACUCUCCAUAAGGAAAGGGUCCAGUAGGCACAAAAGCAAACACGGCCUAAACUGCCUGCGGAUCCCAGGCUGCCAUGGCCACAAGGCAUGUUCUUUGAGGGAGCACCUUUCCACCCAGCAAAUCCCCAAGCUGGGGGAUGCUGGGGAGAAGCUUGGAGGGUGCUAUGAGCCAGAGUAGGCUUAAGAGAAGGCCCGCCUCUCCUGUCAGGAGCCAGGCCCUGUACAUGUGGCUCACACUCUGUCCUUUUAUCCUCAGAACGAGCCAGUGAGGUAGCACUCCUUGGGUGGCCUUCUUUAUCUACAGUUUCUCCAUCCAGCAUGACUUGGAAAUAUUCAGGGCAAAGGAUGGCAUCUGUGCUGAAUAUGCACAGAUAUUUUUCCAUGUUGUUCCCUAAACACAGCAGAUUUUCCAUCUCCACAGCAUGUGCGCUCAUUCAGCAUUUGAUGUACCAGAGUAGAUUUAAAGAUCUCGGGAAGAUGUACACAGGUUCUGUGCAAAUACACCGUAGUACCACACAAGGGGUGUUGGAGUCUCAAACCCACCCCAAGGAUGGGGGGGGGAAGCAGUGAGGUCCUAUCCCCAUCUGUCAGGUGAGCGAGAUGAAGCUCCAGCCACCCUGUACUGGGGGUCACUGUGCCUGGGGUCACAGCAGCUUUUGAGUUCUGCAAAUAGCAGCCAGGGGCCCAACUCUGAGGCAAGUUGACUGUUUUCAAAGAACCUCUGGGUUUGUUAUCCUACUUCAUCUUCCUGUACCGGGGUUUCUCUAUGUCUCACCAGCCUGUUGGUACAAAUGAGUCACCUAGUCAACCGGUAAUCAACUCACUAGCCCAGCCGCACCUCUGCCCCCCACUCACCGGGUCCUUCGGCACCCCACCUCAACACUUUGAGGGCUCUCUCCUCCUUCAAGGUUUACCUGGUAGAGGGCACUGUCAAGGAAUCUGGCAGAGUGGGCCUUCCGGGGCUAGAAAGGGGUGACCUACUAGAAGUAGGGGACCAGGGCUCUGGUGGCCCUGUGAGUGCACAACCUCAGUGCUACCCCCACCCUCUGGGAGCUUUGCUUUUUCUUAUCUAUGGGGGGAGGGGAGGAGAAGUACUAUUGGGUCUCAGUAUGUCCUCCAAACAUCUACAGACUGUGGCAUAGGCCCUCAGUAAGAUACACACUAGUAGCUACACUACACAGCCCAUGUGCAGUGGGGAAAGCUCCAGAAGGGAAUGAGGCUAGCUAUUAUGGGAAGGGAUCCUCCUGGCUGGGUGAAGCCCAAACCACCAGUCACAGAGGACUUAACUAGCCAGGUUCUGUGCUGGGGGCUUUCACUAUCAUAACCCCACCUGUCCCUCCAAGUCAAGUGGGGUAGGAACCAGGAAACUGAUGAGGCUCAGAGGGACCAAGCCACUGGCCUGAAGUCACAAAGCUAAUGAGCAGCGGGCUCCUGUAGAAUUAAAUCUGAGGAACACUCUUGAAUGUUGUCUUUACCACUGUGAGACCCAGCAUUGAGAAAUCAGCUCACCUCAUGAGAUCUUCAGUUAGGAGUCCUUACUACGUUGACUGCAGUUCUUAGGCUAGGAUCUCCCUAUCCUUACUGUGGGAAGGACAGGAAUUCCCUGAAUUCCAGAAGGAGCCAGGGGGUGUACUUUCACUCUGGCGCUGGGGAUGUGGCUCAGUUGGUAGAACACUUGCCUAGCAUGCUUGACGCCCUGGAUUCUGUCCCUAGCACUGCACUAACCAGGUGUGAGACACAAAACCUGCAAUCCCAUCACUUGGGAAAUAGAAGCAGGAAAAUCACAAGUUUAAGGUCAUCUGCACCUGCUCAUUAGCCAGCUAAUGAGAAGGUCUCAGAAAGAGGAAAGAGAGGGAGGGGGAGGGUUGGAAGAGGGGAGGAGGGAAGGAAUGAGGCUAGAAGAUAGAAUAAACAUUGGUGAGGUUGGGUGGCCUCUCUCUCUUGAGUGACCAUUCCAGGGUGGACCAAAAUGCCACCCUUUUUCCCUUAAGUAGAUACAAGCAUUUUUUGUCCAUUUAAAAAUUAAUUAAUGCAGGAGUCUAGAAAGAUAGACUUCAUCAAUGAAGAGCACUGGCUGCUCUUGCAAAGAACCCAGAUUCAAUUCCCAGCGCCCACCUGACAUCUCUCAACCCUUCUGUGACUCCAGUGCUGGGAUCCGAUGCCCUCUUCUGACCUCCACAGGCAACAAGCACACAUGUGGUACACAGACAUACAGGCAGACAAAACACCUGUACACGUUUUUAAUGAAUUCAAACAACAUUUUCCAAAAUGAACCAGUGCUUAGCAAGAUGGUAUUUGGCUGCAGUCUUGCAAGCCAGCUCCUGGACCUGCUGUGUGUGGCCCUAUACCCUGUCUUAUCCAGCACCUUGCCCUGAGUUUGUCAGUUUUCUGUUUUCUUCAUGGUUCUCUGGCCACACUAAACAAUUGAAACUCCUGGUGAGCUUUUAAAAAUGCUAUAAAUAGACCCAGGCCCUUUUGAUCAGCCGCACUGAAGAUGAUGGCUACAGGAGGCCUCUGGGUGCCACCUGAGCCUCAGUUUGCCCAAGUAGGACAAGCCUGGGGACCAGUAAGGGAGGGGCUGACUUCACCAUCUCCUUCCCGUCCAUUCCCCUUUCCACCACACCCAGGAAGUGAUCUCCACCCCUCCGCCCCCAUCUAUGUGGUCCCAUCUCCUUCUUGUGUCUUGUAAGCUUUGCACACAGUAGGUGUUCAGUAAACCUUUGGAAGCAAAUCCAGGAAGUGGCUCCUAUGACUGUUCUGUGUAUGCACACAAGUGUGUGUGCUCUUGUAUAGGGGUGUAGGCACAUUCAUGCCACAGUGCACUAAUAGAGGCCAAAGGCUAAACCUCAGGUGUUGCUCCCCGCUUUGUUCUUGCACAAGCCAGACUAGCUGGCCUUCCCUCCAUUCUCCUGUCUCCACUUUCCAUCUCCUGGUUGUGGAUGCUGGGAUUACAACCAUUUAGGCCAUCGCUUUUACGUGGGCUCUGGAGACCUGAACUCAGUUCUUCAGUCUUGUGUACUUGCCCAAUGAGCCUUCUCCAAAGCCCCCUUCAGCUAUUCUCUGGCAGAUGACUGUGUCUCAACUGACUCUGUAGAAGCCUAAAGAAUUUCACCAAAAGAGACUGGACCGUAGCUCGGGUCGGGAGUUAGGGGAAUGCAGAACACCUUCCUGGCAUGCAAGGGGCCCUGGGUUCCAUCCCUAGCCCUGCAAACAUACCUAAGGAAAGAAACCAAAAGACCCUGCAUGAUGAGACCCAAUGUUCCAGGGCCAUGCAGGCAGCAAAGAUCUCCCAUAAGCUGAGCACGAGUGUGCCCCUUACACCUGCCCUUCAUAGCAAUAUGUUUUGACUUAAAAAAAAAAAAAAAGUCUUGAGGCCAGCUGUGGUGGCACAAGUCUUUAAUCCCAGAACUGAGGCAGGGGGAGGCAGAUCUCUGAGAUGGAGGCCAGAGCAAGUUCCAGAAUAGCUAAGGCUACACAGAGAAACCUGUCUUUAAAAAAAAAUGUAGAAAAAUGUAAAAGGCUUGAGGCUGGAGAGAUGGCUCAGGGGUUAAGAGCACACACUGCUUUUCCAGAAGGCCUGCAUUUGGUUCCCAGCAUCCAUAUCAGGUGACUCAGAACUGCCUGUAACUCCAGCUCCAGGGGCCUCUACCCUCUUCAGGCCCUCCCCCUCUGUGCUGCUCUUGCUUUACAUACUUCCUUUUCUUUGUUUAUUAUUUUAUUUAUUAUAUUUUUUAAUUUUUUUUUACAACUUUAAAAAAAAAUAGAAGUUGCCAGAUGUGGUGGCGCACGCUUUUAAUCCCAGCACUCAGCAAGCAGAGGCCGGUGGAUCUCUGUGAGUUUGAGGCCAGCCUGGUCUACAAACUGAGUCCCAGACCAGCCAAGGCUACCUGGUGAAAAAAAAAAAACAAACAAAUCCAUCUUUUGUGGUUAAGGAGAUUGGAGACAAUCUGUGUUUGGAUUUGAAUUUAUGUUUCCUUGAAUCCUAGAGAGGAAGAAUUUUUAUGUUACAUAUUAGUCAUUUCCGUGGCUUCUUCUGUGGAUUAUCUGUUCCCAAUUUACUAAUUUACAGUGAAAAUAUCACUGCCAAAGGGACCAGAUACAUAUGUCCUGCUGCCAACACUUGAGCUCCCUGUAGGAACAGUCCACAGAAAGCCAAAUCAAAUCAGAGUGAUGCUUGGUAAGCAGGAGGCUUGGGAGGGACUGUUGAGGAGACUCUGGUGGCUAAUGGCACGGGGGACCUCCCUGCCUCCAUCUGCUGCUCUCUUGCAUGCCCAGCCUUUCUUUGGAUGGACAUUUCAGUAUUAGAAAUAUUACUGUAGGUGCAUACCUGACCUGAAAUCCCGGCACUUGGGAGGUGCAGGCAGGAGAACAGGUGUUCAAGGUCAGCCCGGCCCCAACUAUAUAAAGAGUUUAAAGCCAACCUGAGCUACACAGGACUCGGUCAAAGAAUAAGAAGGACAAACAGAUAUUACUGUGCUCUGAGCAGACCCCUGUCGUCCUAGCUGUACAAAAGGCCAAGGCAGGAGGUUGACUUGAGCCGGAGAGUUUGAGAAUAGCCUGAACAACAGAGCCAGAGAGGGACAGAGGAGGGAGGGAAGGAGAAAAAGGAUAGCAACCAAUCACUUAGGGCUCUCUCUGGUCUAGCACACCCCCGCUCCCCUUUUUUUUCCUUCUGGUUUUGUUGCUUAAAGACAGGGUCUCACUCUGUAGCCCAAGCUGGCCUGGAACUCAUGUCAAUCUAGCAUCUCUUCCAAGCCAGUCAUUUGACCGCUCAGAGGACAAACUUGGCCCUCUCUGCCUCCUCAGCUGCACACCCAUUCCCAGGACAGUUACAAAGCACAGCUGAUACCUUUGGGGUGCCUGUCUUCCUGGUUGUUCGAAAGCAAAAGUAGUGUUGGGGUCUGUGAAACCUGACGCCGGGUUCCUUGCACAAAGCAGUUGUGCACAGAGCCUGUAGAUUUCCUUUCCUGAGUCUUCAGACAGCUCUCUGACCUACGCAAGGUCAAGACUCACUAUGACUGAAGCCUUGAGCACACAAAGUGAGGAGGGAAGAAUGAGAAGAGCCUGACAAGCAUGAAGUUCUGGGUUCAAAUCCCACCACCACAGAGAGAGGAGGAACCAGAGAGGGACUCUAGGAGGAGGACAGAGGAGUGAACUAAACUGCUGACGUUCUGGUCUCAGCACAGGGAGAGGGCCUGCUGCUGCUGGACAAGGCUUUGACCACUGCCUCAGCUUCUUCUCUGUGUCACCUAAGGUAAAGUGCAUAGCUGUUGUGACUCUCACUUUCCUCAUCUUUAAGAUGGAGAGGAAUCCAUGGAAAGAUAGCUUAAUGGGUAAGAGCUCUUAGUCGGUCAGAGCACUGACUGUUCUUGCAGAAGACCCUGGUUCAGUUCCCAGCACCCAUAUAGCAAGCAGCUCACAACUGCCUGUAACUCCAGUGCCAGGGGAAUCCAACAUUCUCUUCUGGCUUCACAGACAUGGCACUCCUGUGAUGUACAUAAACACACACAGGCAAGCGCACACACAUAUAAAACAAAUAAAACCUAAGAAGAAUAAAAAUGAAUGAAUGAAUG
rnacentral:lncRNA from 1 species